UCCAUUAGCGUAUAUUAAAGUUGUUGCAGUUAAAAAGCUCGUAGUUGAAUUUCGGGGUUAGUAGGUUGGUCAUGCCUCUGGUAUGUACUGAUCUCACUGAUUCCUCCUUCCUGAUGAACCGUAAUGCCAUUAAUUUGGUGUUGCGGGGAAUUUGGACUGUUACUUUGAAAAAAUUAGAGUGUUUAAAGCAAGCUAACGCUUGAAUNCAUUAGCAUGGAAUAAUGAAAUAGGACGUUCGAUCCUAUUUUGUUGGUUUCUAGGAUUGACGUAAUGAUUAAUAGGGAUAGUUGGGGGCAUUAGUAUUCAAUUGUCAGAGGUGAAAUUCUUGGAUUUAUUGAAGACUAACUACUGCGAAAGCAUUUGCUAAGGAUGUUUUCAUUAAUCAAGAACGAAAGUUAGGGGAUCGAAGACGAUCAGAUACCGUCGUAGUCUUAACCAUAAACUAUGCCGACUAGGGAUCGGAUGAUGCUAAUUUUUUAAUGANUCAUUCGGCGCCUUACGGGAAC
rnacentral:rRNA from 1 species